AAUGCUUAAUGCUAUAAACAAAUAUAAUAAUACAGAAUGAUUUUUCUUUUUUUCUUCUUUGAUAGGUUACAGACAUGAAAUAGAUGAAGAAACAUGUUUUGUUAGUUAAUUUCAGGACACCUUGUUUCAGUUUUCACAAAUUAUCCUUUACAAAUUUGUAAAUGUAAUUUGAAGAACAUCAAAGCGCCUUUGAUAUUUUCUUACCUAGGUAUUUUGCACUAAAUAAAGUCCAAAGGCUCGCGGUACAGACUGACCUACCAAAAUAGAGUACCAGUCCAUCUCUAGAGUAUGUUAUUCCUGUGCUGUGAUAAAUGAUGUCGCCUCCUUUACUCAUA
rnacentral:misc_RNA from 1 species